UACAGAGGUCCCGAGCGUUGUUCGGAUUCAUUGGGCGUAAAGGGCGCGUAGGCGGCCAUGCGUGUCUUCCGUGAAAUCCCUCGGCUUAACUGAGGACGUGCGGAAGAAACUGCAAGGCUCGAGUCCGGGAGAGGGGGGUGGAAUUCCCAGUGUAGCGGUGAAAUGCGUAGAUAUUGGGAGGAACACCGGUGGCGAAGGCGGCCCCCUGGACCGGUACUGACGCUGAGGCGCGAAAGCGUGGGUAGCAAACGGG
rnacentral:rRNA from 1 species